rnacentral:rRNA from 1 species
ACUAAAAAGCUAGCUUGAACCCCAAGACCAACCCCCCAAUAUUAAUCAAUCUUAAACCACCCACACCUAAAUAACUAAAACAUUCUUCUGCCUAAGUACGGGCGACGAAAAAGGCACCCAAUAAAGCAAUAGAGAAAAGUACCGCAAGGGAAAGCUGAAAAAGGAAUGAAACAACCCAUUCAAGUAAAACAAAGCAAAGAUUAAACCUUGUACCUUUUGCAUCAUGAUUUAGCCAGUCUCAUUGAGCAAAGAGAACUUUAGUUCAAACCCCCGAAACCAGGUGAGCUACCUCGAGCCAGCCUUUAACUAGGGCCAACCCGUCUCUGUGGCAAAAGAGUGGGAAGAGCUCCAGGUAGUGGUGAUAGACCUAUCGAACCUGGUGAUAGCUGGUUGCCUAAGAAAUGGAUAAGAGUUCAGCCUCAUACCCCCUCAACUCAGCGUAUUAUACAACACACGAGCCCGAGAAAUAUAUGAGAGUUAGUCAAAGGAGGAACAGCUCCUUUGAAUAAGAAUACAACCUUUUAAGGAGGUUAAGGACCAUAUUUUAUAAGAUUCCUGCUUAAGUAGGCCCAAAAGCAGCCAUCAGAACAGAAAGCGUCACAGCUCCGGCAGAUAACAAUCCAUUAUCCCUGUAAUUUAAUCCAAAACCCCUAAACCUACUAGGCCUUUCCAUGCCAACAUGGAAGUGAUAAUGCUAAAAUAAGUAACAAGAAAGGAAACCCUUUCUCCCAGUCCCAGUGAAAGUCAGAUCGGACCCUCCACUGACAAAUAACGAACCCAACCAAAGAGGGCAAUGUAGUCUACAAAAACCACAAGAAGAACCUACACAGACCAAUCGUUAACCCUACACAGGAAGACAUGAAGGAAAGACUCAAAAAAGAGGAAGGAACUCGGCAAACACAAGCCUCGCCUGUUUACCAAAAACAUCGCCUCCCGCAAACCCCGACGUAUAGGAGGUCUUGCCUGCCCAAUGAAAUAUUUAAAUGGCCGCGGUAUCUUGACCGUGCGAAGGUAGCGCAAUCACUUGUUCUCUAAAUAAGGACCCGUAUGAAUGGUGAAACGAGGGCUUAACUGUCUCCCCCCUUAAGUCAGUGAAAUUGAUCUACCCGUGCAGAAGCGGGUAUAAAAAUACAAGACGAGAAGACCCUUUGGAGCUUAAGACACCAAGACCAACUAUUUAAAAAGAAUUUAUACAAAAUAAAUUGAACUUAUAGCACCUGGUCCCAGUCUUCGGUUGGGGCGACCGCGGAAUAAAACAAAACCUCCGUGCGGAACAGGAAAAAUAACCUAAACCACGAGAGACAUCUCUAAGACACAGAACAUCUGACCUUUACAGACCCGGCUAUAGCAGCCGAUUAACGAACCAAGUUACCCUAGGGAUAACAGCGCAAUCCCCUCCAAGAGUUCUUAUCGACAAGGGGGUUUACGACCUCGAUGUUGGAUCAGGACAUCCUAAUGGUGCAGCCGCUAUUAAGGGUUCGUUUGUUCAACGAUUAAAGUCCUACGUGAUCUGAGUUCAGACCGGAGUAAUCCAGGUCGGUUUCUAUCUGUAAUGCUAUUAUUCCCAGUACGAAAGGACCGAAAUAAUGAGGCCCAUGCUACAAACACGCCCCACUUUUAAUCAAUGCAAACAACUCAAUUGAAUAAAAAAAAGCACAUCUCAACUCAAGAGAGAGAGUUC